GAUCAGGGCCCGGGCGAGCUUUUGGUCCCCGCCCGUGCCGAGUGCGCGGGGUCGGCCACGGGAACUUUGCUGUUCCCCGCGGGGCGCACGGAGGGUUUGUCGCCGGGCGCACAUGGACUGGGGAGAACUCUGCCCGCCGGAGCCGCUCUCGCCGCACCGCGAGGAAGAGCAGAUAAUGCUCAUUAUUCUGUGGUAAAUGAUACUCAGAUGUUCUGCAGCAGCAGGAAAUUCAAUGUAUUGGUACCAUUAAAGGCCUGAUUCCAUUUUCUAACUUCACAGUGCAAGUGAAUGCAUCCAACAGCCAGGGCAGCUUGAUAAGUGAUGCUGUAACAAUUGUCAGGCCUCCAGGAGGUGAGUGUGAAAAAGUGCUUUUUCUGUGCCUGGAACAAUUCCACAAACACUCUGUUGAACAAAAUGUUAUUUGUUGUCUCAAUUGAGAAUUGGAAGUUCAGAAGAAUAUGUUUGCAUUAGUAGUUCUUACUAUCAAAAUUGUUCUUUUUGGUUUCUAAUUUGUCACAUGGUUAACUUUAGGAACUAGAGAAUGAAAACAGUUGUAUAGUUAACAUAUUGUGAAGGUGAGAGGUGUAUCAUGUACUUCAUUUUUUUCCUGUGAAUGGUGGUGUGUUCUAUCAGGGACAGCUGAUCAAGUCCAAGAAUAGAGAGAGACUCACCUGCAUUUUGGAACCUUUUUUAGAAUAGAAGCUGAAAGUGCUGACAAGGAGCACUCACUGAAUAGAUUUAGAGAAUUUGUUUAAUAAUAGUAAUAUAAACCACUGGCAAUAUAGUGAGCCAGAAUCCACCAAGUUCUUUAGUUGUAAGAAAGUCAGUUCCAAUGUGCUGAUUUACAGUGACUGAGGCUCCAAACCCCUCUGGCUGUUCUCUUCAUAACAGUUGGAAAUAAGGGAAUUGAGCAAAUACACCCUGAACACUGUGAGUGUUUUGUUCUGUGGUUUUGUUUCGGUUGGUUGUUGGUUUGUUGGUUUUUUUUGUCAAGAAAGGUUUUCCAUUUCUAGCUGGUGUAGGUGUGUCCCUUUUGCAUUCCCUUUUCAUGGCCAUCCUCCAGAAUUAGCUUUGGUUGAAUAAAUGCCAAUGGAAACAAUUAAUUUAAGCCAGUUUUGAAUUCUAAUGUGAGAGCCCAACAAAUCUUGAUCUUGAGAGAUAUGUAGGUGUAGCUGUUGAGUAAGAAGAGUGUAGAGUGACAUCCAUACCAUUUUAAAGGAAAAGAAAAACAAAAACAAAGAAAAAACCAAUCCCAUAAACCUUAGAGCUCAAAAAUACAGUUAAACUUGAAACAGUUUGCUUGCAAACAGAUGGAUUAGGUUUGGGUCCAAACCAGCAGAAAGACUUCAGGAAAGUGAGUAAAUCCAAUACAGAGUUUGUGUGACAGAUUACUGAGAAAUAAGGAAAAGGUCAGUCUCCAGCACAGUUUAUACUUUUUCAAUUUUAUUGUCAAGUUGCAGCUAAUGUUAACAAAUAGACUUUGUUAUAGAAUAAUAAAACUGCAUCUGAGUUUCACUGCUCAUUUAA